AGGACGAACGCUGGCGGCGUGCUUAACACAUGCAAGUCGAACGGGGUGUUUAUUUCGGUAAACACCAAGUGGCGAACGGGUGAGUAACGCGUAAGCAAUCUACCUUCAAGAUGGGGACAACACUUCGAAAGGGGUGCUAAUACCGAAUGAAUGUAAGAGUAUCGCAUGAGACACUUACUAAAGGAGGCCUCUGAAUAUGCUUCCGCUUGAAGAUGAGCUUGCGUCUGAUUAGCUAGUUGGUGAGGGUAAAGGCCCACCAAGGCGACGAUCAGUAGCCGGUCUGAGAGGGUGAUCGGGCCACACUGGGACUGAGACACGGCCCAGACUCCUACGGGAGGCAGCAGUGGGGAAUUUUCCGCAAUGGGCGAAAGCCUGACGGAGCAAGACCGCGUGGGGGAAGAAGGCUCUUGG
rnacentral:rRNA from 1 species